CACCCCCGCCCAUCGUGUCUACCCUUCUUCUUACCCAGCUGCCUCCCGAGGACCUGCAGCCACACAGGAGUGUCGGCGCCUCUGCUUUCCUCAGGUGCAUAGAAGAGGCAGCGAGAUCCUUGACACACAGCAGACAGCACUGACAGGGCUUUGUUGAGGAACAAACAAAUUGCCACAGCAUCACAGCAGCUUUCAAGCUUUCAAG